rnacentral:rRNA from 1 species
GACGAACGCUGGCGGCGUGCUUAACACAUGCAAGUCGAACGGUGAAGCGCCUUCCUUUUUGGUGGGUGUGGAUGAGUGGCGAACGGGUGAGUAACACGUGAGUAACCUGCCCCCUUCUUCUGGAUAACCGCAUGAAAGUGUGGCUAAUACGGGAUAUUCUGGGUCUGUCGCAUGAUGGGUCUGGGAAAGAUAUUGUUUCGGUGGGGGUUGGGCUCGCGGCCUAUCAGCUUGUUGGUGGGGUGAUGGCCUACCAAGGCGGUGACGGGUAGCCGGCCUGAGAGGGUGGACGGUCACACUGGGACUGAGACACGGCCCAGACUCCUACGGGAGGCAGCAGUGGGGAAUAUUGCACAAUGGGCGCAAGCCUGAUGCAGCGACGCCGCGUGAGGGAUGGAGGCCUUCGGGUUGUGAACCUCUUUCGCAAGUGAAGCAGGCCUGCCUCGUUUGUGGGUGGGUUGACGGUAGCUGGAUAAGAAGCGCCGGCUAACUACGUG